AACGCUGGCGGCGUGCCUAACACAUGCAAGUCGAACGAGAAAGACGUCUUCGGAUGUCGAGUAAAGUGGCAAACGGGUGAGUAACGCGUGGGACAUCUACCCUGAUGAGGGGAAUAACUCUUCGAAAGGAGAGCUAAUACCGCAUAUACCGUGCAAACGGGAAAGGCCUUCGGGUCGCAUCAGGAGGAGCCCGCGUCCGAUUAGCUAGUUGGUGAGGUAAUGGCUCACCAAGGCGACGAUCGGUAGCCGGUCUGAGGGGACGGACGGCCACACUGGGACUGAGACACGGCCCAGACUCCUACGGGAGGCAGCAGUGGGGAAUUUUGGGCAAUGGGCGAAAGCCUGACCCUGCAACGCCGCGUGGAGGAAGAAGGUUUUCGGAUCGUAAACUCCUGUCCCACGAGAAGAAGAAAGUGACGGUAUCGUGGGAGGAAGCCCCGGCUAACUCCGUGCCAGCAGCCGCGGUAAUACGGGGGGGGCAAGCGUUGUUCGGAAUUACUGGGCGUAAAGGGCGCGUAGGCGGCUUCGGAAGUCAAGGGUGAAAGCCCCGAGCUCAACUCGGGAACUGCCUUUGAAACCACGGAGCUAGAGUGUUGGAGAGGAAAGCGGAAUUUCCAGUGUAGCGGUGAAAUGCGUAGAUAUUGGAAGGAACAUCUGAGGCGAAGGCGGCUUUCUGGACACACACUGACGCUGAGGCGCGAAAGCUAGGGGAGCGAACGGGAUUAGAUACCCCGGUAGUCCUAGCUGUAAACGAUGAACCACUUGGUGUGGGGGGUAUAAAGUCCCUCCGUGCCGUAGAUAACUCGAUAAGUGUUCCGCCUGGGGUGUACGGCCGCAAGGCUGAAACUCAAAGGAAUUGACGGGGGCCCGCACAAGCGGUGGAGCAUGUGGUUUAAUUCGACGCAACGCGAAGAACCUUACCGGGGUUUGAACUGUACCUGCGACAUCCAGAGAUGGAUGGUUUCCUUAGGGAACUGGUAUAGAGGUGCUGCAUGGCUGUCGUCAGCUCGUGUCGUGAGAUGUUGGGUUAAGUCCCGCAACGAGCGCAACCCUUGUCUGUAGUUGCCAUCAGGUUAAGCUGGGCACUCUACGGAAACUGUCGGCGAUAAGCCGGAGGAAGGUGGGGAUGACGUCAAGUCCUCAUGGCCUUUAUGUCCCGGGCUACACACGUGCUACAAUGGAUGGAACAGAGGGCUGCAAGCCUGCGAAGGCAAGCGAAUCCCAAAAAUCCAUUCUCAGUUCGGAUUGCAGUCUGCAACUCGACUGCAUGAAGUUGGAAUCGCUAGUAAUCGCGGAUCAGAACGCCGCGGUGAAUACGUUCCCGGGCCUUGUACACACCGCCCGUCACAUCACGAAAGUAGGCUGUACUAGAAGCCGCUGGCCCAACCUCUUCGGAGGAGGGAGGCGUCGAACGGUAUGGUUUAUGAUUGGGGUG
rnacentral:rRNA from 1 species